GGUCUGGCCUGCUCACUGAAUUAAUUAAAUAGCCGCGGUAUUUUGACCGUGCGAAGGUAGCAUAAUCAUUAGUCUCUUAAUUAGGGGCUGGAAUGAAUGGCUUGACAAGAAAUCAACUGUCUCUUAAUAAUUUUUAUAAUUUAACUUUUAAGUUAAAAGGCUUAAAUUUUUCUUUAGGACGAGAAGACCCUAUAGAGCUUAACAUUUUAAUUAUAUAUAUUCUUUUGUUUAUCUUUUUAUAUUUAAUGAUAAUGUUUUGUUGGGGUGACAUGAAGAAUUAAUAAACUCUUCAUUAUUUAAUUCAUUAAUUUAUGUUGUAAUUGAUCCAUAUUUUAUG
rnacentral:rRNA from 1 species